rnacentral:misc_RNA from 1 species
CCAUGUUUUUUUUUCUCCUUUCUUCUUGUUCCUCUUUCUCUUCCUUAGAUUUUCUUACCAUUUUCCCCAAUGGUCCACCGCCAAGGUCUUUCAUCCAUUUUAAAUUGUCAUUCUGCAACACUUUCAGAAUAUUAGUUACUUUAAAAAAAAUUUAAAUCGAAAGGACUUAUUAAUAAAAAGCUUCUACUUAUUAUUAUUCAUAUUUUUGUACAUAUUAUUUUAAAUAAAUUGAUAAUAAAUAGACUAAUGCCUCAAGAAUCAAUGUUUACUUAUAAAGCUCAAAAAGCAAUAUCUACAUUAUGAUAAGAUAAAGAUAGAUAUUAGUUGGCUGACCUUCUUUGAGGAUAAGUUUCCUCUGAAUUGAACUUCGUUGUGCAGUUUUUUCCAACACUUGAACAUAUCAAUAUCUCCUCCUUUUAUGAAAGAAGGCAGAUGGUCGUAAUCAGGAUGAUAAGUCCUAUAUAGAUGGACAGGCGUAUUCUCUUUAACAUCUUUUUCAUCUAAAAGGUAAAACAAUGAUGAAUGUUUGAGCACUGCUUUUAUUAUUUCAUUUUUUUUGCUGAUCACUGCAUAAUGAAUAACAUUCCAGCCUCUAAUAUCAGUAAGUUCGCAGCAAUCUGGGCAUUCAGAAAUGAUCUCUUUCACUAUGUCUUGGAAGCCUCGACAGGCUGCAAUGUGAAGAGCAGUCCUCUUCCAACAUUUAUCAGCAAUAUAGGCACUAGAUAUAUCAAAGCGUAAUAGGAUGCUAACCGCUGACCGUUUUCUUC